rnacentral:rRNA from 1 species
CUUGGUCAUUUAGAGGAAGUAAAAGUCGUAACAAGGUUUCCGUAGGUGAACCUGCGGAAGGAUCAUUAAGAAUUGAUAAUAUUUGUGAAAUUUACACAGCAAACAAUAAUCAUACAAUCAAAACAAAAAUAAUCAAAACUUUUAACAAUGGAUCUCUUGGUUCUCGUAUCGAUGAAGAACGCAGCGAAACGCGAUAUUUCUUGUGAAUUGCAGAAGUGAAUCAUCAGUUUUUGAACGCACAUUGCACUUUGGGGUAUCCCCCAAAGUAUACUUGUUUGAGCGUUGUUUCUCUCUUGGAAUUGCAUUGCUUUUCUAAAAUUUCGAAUCAAAUUCGUUUGAAAAACAACACUAUUCAACCUCAGAUCAAGUAGGAUUACCCGCUGAACUUAAGCAUAUCAAUAAGCGGWGGAAAUCGA